AACCAGAAAUGAGGAGCAGAGAGCCUGGGGGAGGCUGGAAGCUGGGUACGCAGGGAGAGACAGAGACUAAGAGACAGUGAGAUACCAAGAUAGGGAGAGCCACGUGAUAGACUGGGGAGAGAUGAGAAAGAGACCAAGAGACCAUGAGGGAGUCAAGAGUCACCCCGCCACCCCCCUGCAGUGACCAAGCUGGCCCUGGCAGAGGGAGGGGUGUCUCUGGAGAGCUCCCAGCUGGGUGAGUCACAAGCUGCCCUCGAGAUCUGGGGCGGGGGGUGGGGGCAUUUUUGGGGAAGGGAGGGAAAUAAUGGGGUGGGUCCCUUGUGGCCACAGCCCCAGCCCCAAGGGCCAGCGGCCAUGCUCCUCUGGUGCCCCCUGGUGUUCACUGAUGGCUGCUGGCCAGUCAUCACGGGGGUCCCAGAGGCAGGUGGCUGUCCACCAAGGCUGAC
rnacentral:lncRNA from 1 species